GAUGAGGAACGCAGCGAAAUGCGAUAAGUAAUGUGAAUUGCAGAAUUCAGUGAAUCAUCGAAUCUUUGAACGCACAUUGCGCCCGCCAGUAUUCUGGCGGGCAUGCCUGUCCGAGCGUCAUUUCAACCAUCAAGCCCCGGGCUUGUGUUGGGGACCUGCGUCCGACGCAGGCCCUGAAAACCAGUGGCGGGCUCGCUGUCCACACCGAGCGUAGUAACUAACCUCGCUAUGGAGUGGCGCGGGCGCCUGCCGUAAAACCCCCAAUUUCACAAGGUUGACCUCGGAUCAGGUAGGAAUACCCGCUGAACUUAAGCAUAUCAAUAAGCGGAGGA
rnacentral:misc_RNA from 1 species